rnacentral:rRNA from 1 species
AUUGAACGCUGGCGGCAGGCUUAACACAUGCAAGUCGAGCGGAGAGAGGUAGCUUGCUACUGAUCUUAGCGGCGGACGGGUGAGUAAUGCUUAGGAAUCUGCCUAUUAGUGGGGGACAACAUUUCGAAAGGAAUGCUAAUACCGCAUACGUCCUACGGGAGAAAGCAGGGGAUAUUCGGACCUUGCGCUAAUAGAUGAGCCUAAGUCGGAUUAGCUAGUUGGUGGGGUAAAGGCCUACCAAGGCGACGACCUGUAGCGGGUCUGAGAGGAUGAUCCGCCACACUGGGACUGAGACACGGCCCAGACUCCUACGGGAGGCAGCAGUGGGGAAUAUUGGACAAUGGGCGGAAGCCUGAUCCAGCCAUGCCGCGUGUGUGAAGAAGGCCUUAUGGUUGUAAAGCACUUUAAGCGAGGAGGAGGCUACUUUAGUUAAUACCUAGAGAUAGUGGAUGUUACCCGCAGAAUAAGCACCGGCUAACUCUGUGCCAGCAGCCGCCGUAA